UACGAUUGCACUUAGCACGUGCAACAAGCCUUUAAACCCCUAGGUUACCCUAGUGGACGAGUGUUGUCUCGUGAGGGUUUGCAGUGAAGUUACCCACAAACUUCAAUCCCAAAAUAAAAUUUAUUUUAUGAAAUGAAAGUCUAAUUUCAAGUACAUAACUGAUAAGAAUUUCAAAAGCACACAAGGUUUUAAUUACUAAGUAGCCCAA
rnacentral:lncRNA from 1 species